CAUUAACAUAACAUGAAUGUUUAAAUGCCCCUUUUCUGGGAGGCUUUCUGUUAGGCAACGUACAGCGUGGUCUGGUCAACGUACAGCGUGCAACCGGAAGAUGGGUGCGCGCACUGCGCCGGAAAGAGACCAGAGACUUUUUUCUCAAGAAGACCAUGGCGGGGCGAAAGACGUCUCAAAGGACAUCUUCAAACUUUGAAAUCAGUGAUUCUGACGAUGACGAUGACAAUGAAGAAAUAUCCAAAGUUAUUAGGAACCUGGAUGCUAAGAUUCAAGAGAAAGAGAGCCGUGAGCCGGCGCUUCAAUGGCGAAAACGAGACCAAUUUGGGAGGCUGAUUGGAAAGAGUCACGGUUCAUCAAAAAUGUACUCCUCCACACGUCAGACACAGUCAUCAAAUAUUGGUGAAGAACAUGUGGAAGACAGCACAGGCCCAUUGACCUCUGAGUUGCAAGAGACCCACAACAUGAUUGACCUUCAUAUACAGGAGCUGCAGCAAAUGCUCGAUGCAGUUGGGGAGGAUGUUGCCGGAGGCUCCACAGAAGCCUCAUCCUCUUCAUCUCAAACAUGGAGCGUACGUCAGGCAUUAUCGGGAGAAAGAUGGCGAAAUGCUAGACCUCAGCUUCUUGAAGCCAUGCUGGAAGCAGGAAGGGUCCCGAAGGGCUUUUGCCAACUGUGCCAUGUUAAAGAGGCAGUCAUUAGCUGCACUGACUGCCUGCAGAAACACAUGUUGUGCUCUCAGUGCGACAUCACUCUACAUCGGCAAUACAGUUUGCAUAACCGAUCUUCGGUUGUCGGGAGCAGUCACAGAGCCCUUCCUCCAACGGAUAUCUUUGUCCAUGAUGCGAGUGGUGAGCCAACACUGGGCGAAGAAGUACGUCUCCUUCCAUUUGCGUUGCCCAAAAGCAUUUGCAGUAAGGCUGAAAAUGUGUCAGUGGUGGGCAAAAAAUUAUCUUGGUCAACAUGAAUGGUCGCUAUGAUCUCUCUGUUCCACUGCUGACAUGUGAAAGUUACAAAUGCAAAUGGACACCACAGAUUAAGGACUUUAUAUUAAAUGGUUACUGGCCUGGGACAAUUGAUUUCCAGACAGUGUUUGCUAUUGAGGUUUUCUCUUCAUUUGAAGACCUUAAAAUCUGUGCUCCUGGUCUGAGUAGACAUGCAUUUGUCCGACUGUUGGAAAGUCGCUCAGUUCGUGCUGGCAGGGUAAUUCACAUUUUGGAAAAUGUUUAUCGUACAUCAUUUUUAGCAGUAUCUAAAUUGAUCAACAUCUUACAAGCAUGAUCAUUACGUGUUAUAGGUAUUAUACUUAUUAUCAUGGUUUAUCUCCCACAAGUCAAGUAAUUUAUGCUUUUGACAUUUAUCUUGCAUUUAUUAAUUAAUAUGUAUUAGGUUGGCACAGUCUCAUCCGAAAAUCUCCAGAAGAGCUUUUUGGAGUGGACAUAUUGCCGGCACGAGAUUGAUUUACUUCUAGGCGAUGACCAUUUCUCCUGUCCUGCUUGUGGAGAUGAUAUGGUGGCAGUGUCUCUGGAUGGCAACAGGAAAAUGUACCGCUUCAAUCGCAAGGGGGCAGAUGAAUCCCCCUACUUUGAAGGGACUUUUGUCGCCAAAGACACUGAAGUGGAGGCAUUUGUGUCAAGGAUUCGCCAUCAAGUCAAAACUGCACCUGGACGCCCAUCCUGCGGUAAAUCCACGUUUAAAGCAGGCAUGGAGGCUACCAGAAAGUCUGAGACCAGACUGGACGAAGAGGGCAUGAUGACAUCCGUCUGCAGGCACUGCAUUCUCUUCAGUGGCCUCAACAUGUUUCGAGGAGAAAUAUUUGCCUACCCUCUGUACCUACAGCAAGAUCUUGGUGAAAAACACAAGAUAGAGUUUGUUUGCACAGACGUUAUGUGUAAAUACUACCCAUAUGUGCAGAGGGUAGUUGAGAAAUUUCCAGAGCUGCAGUAUGUCCUGCAGAUGCGACCAUUUUUAUCCGUGAUGCAUGCGAAAGGUCACUCAACGAGAUGUGAGGUUGAGUGGAGUGGUCGCAACCAGAAGGGGGCAGGUCUGACAGUUGGUGAGGAAGUGGAAAUGGUAAAUUCUUACCUCUCACGUGUAGCGACUACCACCAAAUACAUGAAAAAAGCAAGACGCACCGACAUGAUAACGCUUCAUGCUCGUGGUUGGAACAUGGGAAAGGUGAAAGUCUUGCACAGAUACCUAGCCAAAAGAUAUAUCAAGUCUAAGCAGAGGGCAGUUGCUGUGGGCAAGGAACUCCAAAACCUUUUGACAACACUGCAGACAACUCAAGUGGAGAUGAAGCAGUGGGUGAAGGAGGUUGAGGAGUGGGCUGCAUCCAGUCCAAAGUCCACCAAUUGCCAGGACCAACAGGGGCUGCAGCCGGUCAUGGAGGGUCUUGUCCUAAAGAUCAAGCAGCGUAAAGCUGAGCUGUACAGAGACAUAGACAAUAAUAAAGAUCGCAGGCCAAAGCGGGACCUUAUUACGAAGGAGAAACGUAAACUGGAGGAGUCAAUUGCUUCGUACAACAGUCUUGUACCUGACACGGCGGCUGUUGAUACAGCAGAUGCCAUUCUGAGUCAGGAAUUCCCCAUUUGGCCAUGGGAUUCUGCAUCCACAAUCCCCCUCGAGACCAAGAAGGUGGUUUUUGACAAAACCAUGCUGCUGUCUCGAGUCCAGGAAGAGGAUGGGAUUCUCAUUAAGGAGAUGAGGAACCACUGCCGCUACCUGACUGGAUCCUCAAAAGCGGUCAAAAGAGAGAUCCAUCAGAUUGAGGAGGACCUGUCUAAACACAGCUCUCCUCCUCCUAACAUGUCCUUGCAGGCCUAUGAGGGGCUGAAGUGCUUGUUGCUACAAAAGCUACAGGGGUUGACCAAACAGAUGGAUGAGGCCUUCACUACAUACAGGAAUGUAUUGACAGACCCCACUGCGCUUCGGGAAGAGAUUGAAGGCAUAGAGGAGAUGGAGGAGGAGGAGGAGGGGAGAUUCCAUUGUCCCUUGACGAGACUGACUCUGACAAUGCUGAAUAACGCGUCUCUGCAGGAGGAGAUUGAGCGGAAGGAGGGAUAAUUUGACAAGAUAUGUUGUAAAAAUGUUUAACUGGCCUCAUCGCAUAAUAUAAUCUAUAAAAACAAACUGUUCAAAA
ensembl:lncRNA